AUAACUGAAGACACAUUUGCAAGCAACAGUUACUGUAAGCAUGUAACGCCUCAGCUAUGUCCCUAAGCCCCGAAUCUAUGUUUUGGAGAAAAAAAUAAUAAUAAAAAUAACUUAAUAAUAUUUUUCCUUCUUAUUGCACACACUUGGGAACACAAGUUCCACAGAUGCUGAGGCCUAUAUAUGGCACAGAGUUCAUUUUCACACAGACGCCAAACUUACUAACCAUUAACAGAUCAAGGUUAAGCAACCCCUCCCACUUCCAGGCUAUAGUGUCCUGGGGCCCGUUCUUCGUACGUCGCUUACUACAUCCAAGAUCAAAUGACACAUCCAAGACCAAAUCAUCGCGCUAACCGUGAGCUCGCUAAUCCGGUUCUCCGAACACACCUGCUGUUGACGAUUAGUACAGCUGGAUGAAGUAAUGUGAGAUCACUGGGUGUCGUAAAAGGGGCUACGCAUCGAGAGUAGAAACAUUGAUCGGCAACCCUCUGAUUGGUCGGCGAAAAUGUCGAAGGAGCGCGCUCGGUAUUUUUCGGCAGCAGAGCAAGAACUCCUGAGUGAGGGAUUUCAGGAGUUUCAGAGUUUAAUCAGAACGCAAGGGAACACUGCAAAGGCUGCAAAAGCAAGGAGAGAGGGCUGGCAGAAAGCUGCUGACAAAUUAAACUCGUAAGUAAUUUAAUAAUAACAAUAAUAAUGGAGUGGAUUGAUAUAGCGCUUUUCAAGGCACCCAAAGCGCAUGACAAUGCCACUAUUCAUUCACUCUCACAUUCACACACUGGUGGAGGCAGCUACGGUUGUAGCCACAGCUGCCCUGGGGCAGACUGACAGAAGCCAGGCUGCCAUAUCGCGCCAUCGGCCCCUCUGGCCAACACCAGUAGGCGGUAGGGUAGAUUUAUCAUAUCACACUAUAUUAUCCAAUAUUAUAUUACAUUAUAUUAUAUUAUAAUAUGUUAUAUUAUAUCCCCUUUCACAUUAGAGCCACAACAGGACCCACUAGAACAUGGGAACAGCAACCAAGAAAAGGGCAGAGCAAAAAAAGACAGGUGGUGGUCCUGCACCCCCUCGUCAACAAGUUGGUUAAGUGAAUAAUACCCUCACGGGAAAAUCGAUAUCUCUCAAUGAGCACACUGUCGCGCUGAGCUAAAGGAUCCUGUCUGUCCCGCAAUAUACGCUGAAUUCUGAGGACUCUCCUUAUCAAUCUUGCACCUUCCGCAAUGGGUGGCUCGUGUACAAACGGACAGGAUAUGACUGCGACAGACUUCCCAAAUCCACCUUCGCUUUUAUAGCCGUGGUCUCUCAUCUUGAUUACAC
ensembl:lncRNA